CCCCUGUGACGCCCCCAAAUUCGGGUAUCUUCCAACCCGACAAAUGGUGCUACACGGUACUCAUAACUGUACAUUCAUUCUAUUGAAAUGACAUCAAAAUGUGUGUAUCAACGACAUUCUUAUUACAUUAAUAAUAGUAAAUCCCGUUCUCAGGUUCUUAAACCAUUACAUUCUUUGUUCAUCAUAAUAUAAUACAUACACUUACUAGUCUAUUACAAGAUAAACUAAUCAUUCAUCUUCGCCUUGCCUUUAUCUCUACUGGAACCCUCGGUUCGCUCGACCUUUGCUGCAAUCAUAUGAUUCAAGCAAGAAGUGAGCAUAACUAGCUCAGCAAGUCUAACAAUAUAUUAUAUAGAUACCACUUCGAGAAUUAUAUGAUUAUUCUUCAAUAACUGAACAAUAGUUAUGAAGUACUAUGAAACAUUGGAUAGCACUUCUCAUCUCAUAAAACAAUUCCGAAGUUCAUAUAGUAAUUUGGAAAUUCUGAGUAGGUCCAUAGACCAUGAACAUUCUCUUUAGCUUUUAUUGAUGAAAAAGACAAUCCGACACUAAGUCCGUAACUCCGACAUAUCUUACGAGCACUUCUAGGUGAUCAGCCUAUAGUACUCUAUGUUGAUUAACACUACAUCCGUUAAACUUAUUUACGUUUAAGUUUUGGCAACCUCGCAUGCCCAUCAAAUAAUCGAUGUAAAAUACAUUUGUUUAUUCAUACUCAGGCUUACCUUGAAUCCGUACCAAACAAUUGGCGUAGGAUAGCGUUAUCAAUUCUAUAUUGAAAGACUUGUAAAGAAAUCAAUCAAUCUUUCAAGAUUAGUCUAGCCGAGUUAAAACUGACAUCGACUCUUUCUUUAAAACUAUUCAUGAAUCAUUGAAAAUCUGGCUAACACGAAGGUUAGACAAGCGAUAAGAAAACUUGCCUUCAGCGUCUGCUACAAUAAAAUUACUUUUCCUUUGAGUCUUUACGGUCUCUACAACACAUAACCACAUAACAUACCAUAUUAAGUCAUGAACAUAUAUGGUUCCUAAUAAAUCUUAGCCUUCUCAAUCUAAUCAUGUAUUAGAUUUGUUAUUAUUGGUUCCGGCUUGUUGUCAUAAUUUACAUCGUUCUUAUCAACUUCUUCCUCUUCUAUGUCUUAAGUGAAUUUACUUCAUUAAUAACACUCGUUUCGAGUUAAUCAUCCUUUCUCACGGCUUACUAACGUUCUUACGUUAUUAAUCGAAAUUCGAUCGUCAUUGGUUAAGUACACUUAUUGCAUACCGUUCACGUAAUAUUCAACAACUUUUAGUUGUAACCAAUGUUCUAAAAGGCGCUAGGCGGGAGGCGGGCGGCCGGAAGGGGCCUAGGCGGAAUUUUUUAUUUUAAGCCAAUUUUAAUAUUUUCUAACAUUUAUCCAAACAAAACAAUAAUAUAAAGGAAAGACAACCUAUAAUAAAGAUAAUAAAGGCAUUUGCUUGAAGUUCAAACACAUCCAUAUUGUUAAUGUCAACGUUCAAACACAAACAUGCAAUUGUUCAAAGUUCAAACAUAUUUUUAACGUAUUAGUUUUAUUCAUAAACAAGAUUGCUAUUAAAUAAUAAAAUUUAAAUUUUUAAGAAUUUAAUUCAAUAAUAAAACUUAAGAAACUAAACAUAAAUUUAAGAAUUAUAUUGAAUUAAAUUAAAUAUUACAAAUGUAUCAUCAUUUAUAUAAUUUAAAGUUGGUACAAGUUCAAAAAAUUACAAUUAUAGUAAAAUUAUCCAUUUUGACUUGAUAUCGUUUACUUCUUGUUGUGAUUUGAUAUGCUACAAUCUGUAUUAUCAAUAUGGUAAAUCAUUAGAAAAAUAAAUAUAUCAAAAUCUGAUUUUGGUAGUUAUUAAAAUAAAAUAAAAAAAACUCUCCGUAUAGACCCCGCCUAAUUUUCUAGAAGAAUUUUUUUGCCGUCUUGGGCCUAGGUGAGGUGUCAGGGGGGCCUAACACCUAGGCGAGGCACCAAGGAGGGGCUUAGCACCUAGGCGGGGCGCCAAGGGAGGGUCUAGCGCCUAGGCGGGAACACUGGUUGUAACUCUCAACGUUAUAGUCAUUAUCAUUAUUGAAUACUGUUCACUUAUACUUUACGUUCAAUUGACUUACCUCCAACCUUUAGUGUUAUACUUAAGGUUUAACAAUGUCUUAAACAUUGUUUAUAUUUUAAGUUUAUCAUUGUUAUAUUUUAAGUUUACUAAUCAAUUACUGUUCUUGCUUCACUUACAAACUUUCCUUACUGUGAAAUCCCUAAGGCUGGCGCUGCGGCGCCAACUUCCUUUUAUUAAGUCGCGCUGCGGCGCGAGUCCUAGCGUUACAUGCCGCGCUGCGGCGCGAAACUCCAGUAGGUCAUGGCAUUUUCUUGGCGUUGUAGCGCCACCUAUUUGCCUUGGGCUGGCGCCUCUAUGCACUAGAUAGUUGACAGUUUUGUUUUACACAACGAACUUCCCGGACUUCAAAUUUGCUCAUUUUAAGUCUGAAUUGGCUCGUUCAAAAGCCAUUAGCUCACAAAUCUCAUACUCUACGUGGUCAUGCAAGAAUUUUACAUUUUCGACUUCGUUAACUCGGAAUUCACCUUUGAGUUCAUUUUUUAACGAAAACGAUAAACGUUUGUGAACUUUCAAUGCCCGUUUCUUCGUUCUAAGUCGGAAUUCGGUCAUUUUCGAAUCCGCAACUCUAUAAUGCCAAAUAAGACUUGUUCCCAUCACAAAACCAUCGUUUCCGAGCUAAAUGUCAAAAUUUGACUUCCAUUCCGAGAAUUUCACGAAUUCGACGAUUAUCGUCCAAACUCGUGAAUUCCGCCAUAACUUCGUUACUUAGGAUUUUUAAACCGUUUCAAAUGGAUUCAAUCCAUUAUACUAACAUCUUAACAUACAUAUUUCAUUAACUUAUAUACAUAAUAAGUUCUUACUUGUUCUUCAUAAGUUUAUAACUUAUAUGAUUACGAAUUGUUUAUUCUUGACUUAUUAAAGCUCGAGUCCUUUGAUUAAUCAUUCCUACUUCUUUUUAGCAUACAAAUCCUACCACUACUCACUUCUCUAACAAAUGAAAAGAAAGAGAUUCAUGGAUUAGGAUCUUACCCUUGAAGAUCAAUUGAUUAAGCUUUGUUCUUCUCUUUGCUUCUUGAAUUGCAAAGUCUAACUUUUUAGCUUUUCUAGCUUUUUCUCUCUAACCAAUAAGUUAUAAGUUGUUGGUGGAAAAUCUAACAAGUAUGAAAUGAACUAAGACAUCUCUUAUUUAUGGGAAAUCAUAAAUGAGGGCUUAUUGGUCAAUAAGUCAUUCCACCUCCUUAUUAUUCAUUAUUUAAGCACUAAGUUAACUUGCUCAUCACGUUAUUUGCUUGCUCACCACUUAACUUAUCCUUUGCUUGCUCAUCACAUAUAAGCACUUUGCUUGCUCAUCACAUAUAAGCACUUUACUUAACCUUCAAAUUUACUUGGUCAUUACAUAACUUAUCUCUUGCUUAGCCACCAAGUAUAAACACUUUACUUAGCCACCAAGCAUAAGCACUUUACUUGGUCAGUACUUAACUUAUCCUUUGCUUAACCAUUAAGUUUACUUGCUCAUCACUUUGGAUCACCCAUGGGUUGCCCCAUGGGUUUUAAUCAUCCAAUAACCCAUUGGUUCUUACUUUGGGCUUUUAGCUUAAUUAACUUAAUUUAUACAUUGGGCUUGCAAUUAAACAAACAUUGGGCUUGUUCAUUAAUUCUCAUUGGACUUAACCAUUUCUACCAUUGGGCUUACCCAUUCCUAUACUUGGGCUUGUACAAUUCCUAACAAAUCCUACAAGUCCAAUCCAUUUGGCUUAAAGCCUUAUAACGUAUAGUCUACGUAUUAAUCUCGUAUUCCAACUCGUAUACUUAUUCAACAUAUACGACAUACCAUCAUUCAUACAUACUCGUAUAAUAUCUCGUAUCAUACUUGUAUUCAUUACCUCGUACUGUGACGACCCCAAAUCCAGGUACUUGAAACCCGAAUUCGGUUCUCCACGAUACCAUUUCUUUAAGCUGAAUAAUACUAAAUAAUAAUACAUUCGAACUUAAUUUACAUACAUCAAAGUUUACUUCCCCAGGUACGUGACCUUCAAAUACAUUCCUUACAAUACUUGAAUAGAUACCAAUACAACUAUAACCAUUAACUCAUAAUACACACUUAUUCGAUCAGCUUUCCUUUUCCUUUGUUCGUGCCUGAGCCUUCAGGUUGCUCAUACAUAACUGAAAACAUUUAAUUUAAGCAAGGAUGAGCAUUUAAGUGCCCAGCAAGUAAUAGCAAUUAUAUAUAAGCUGAAAGAAUAUAAGUAUUCUCUUUACAUAACACUUCUACAACGAAUUGAAAGUUGUGAAGUAAUCUGUACUGAUAAAAAAUUCACAUAACAACUCUCUUUCAAAUUCUUUAAAUUUGGCUCUGGCUCUACCCUUGAAUAGGGUUUAAGAAACAUACUAUGAACAUUCUUUUCAUUUUCGAAAAGGUUUAGCGGAAUUCUAUCCUCAAACCGUCAUAACUUACGGGCACGGAGGGUGAUCAGCCCCGUUGUACCCUGUAUUGAUCAAUACUACAUAACUUGAACGAAAUUCAUCGCUCACUCUAUCCGCCUUGCGCAAAAAUCUUCCCAUAUAGGGAUGUUCAUACAUGCCUGGUUCCAAACCCGAAGGUUUUUAAUCUUGCUCAACAAUAAUAUGUAAUUCAACAUAUAUAUACGGGUAAUUGACAAAGGUGUAUCAACAUGUGAACAAAUGCCAUGAUUAUCCAAGUGGGGACACUUGUAUAACCAUUUAUAGAAAUCAAUGAACAGAAUAUAUAUCUGAGCUAACAUGUCGAUAAUCAAAGAGUACAUAAUCUGUACAGGGAUAGAAUAAUUCUGAAACUUCUUACUCAUGUCCAUUGCAUAAAGGAAGUGCAAAGGUAGGAUACUUGCCUGAUUCGCUGAUUACAAAUCUCAACUUAGGUUUUAUCUCUUUAUCACAACCUAUCAAUAAUCAGAUCAUUCGUUCGAUUAGAACAAUAUAUCUUAACACAUAGUACUGUCUAUUACAGUCAGCACAUAGUCUAAUCACAUAAUCACAGUGAUCAUACUUUUAGUUCCUAUUCUAUACUUGAAAUAUUUUUAUACAUUUUUCAAAUAUCUCAUCCAUGCUCUUACAGUAGUCUUUUCUUUCUUUUAUAAGGUCUGACAUUUGUCGGCGUACCGACAGCUUUAUCGGGUAAAUACUGAGUCUAAGACUCUUAUUCUAUACCUCAACAUCUGUAAAUAUCAGACAUCUUAUUUUUAAUCAUUUUCGCAAUUUCCAGAAAUUGAAAAAUUUAAAAUAAUUCAAAUCUGUCACUAAAGGGCCUAUAGUGAUAUAACUGUUACUAUAGGUGUUCUUCUUCAAAUUCAGAACUUCAUAAUCGGUUCUCAAGUCAGCUAGUUUGGCCGGCUAUAACUUUCAAAUAUCGGAAUCAUAAUUAAAUGAUUUAAACAUUAAACAAUUCCAUUAUCAUUAAUAGUUUAAUUAAUACUAAACUAUUAAUGAAACCAUUGCCAAAAUAUAAAAGUUAUUUAUAAUAACUCAAACUAUUUUUAAAACAUUUAUAUUACCCAAAUAAUUACCAUUAAUAUUUAAAUAUUAAUGUACUAUUUAUCCAAAUAUUAAAAGUCAUUAAUUAUAACUUAAAAUAUUUUUAAAUCCUUAAUAUCCUCUUUAAAUGGUUUUUAAAUAAGUAAAACCAUUUUUAAACUAUUUAUUUAAUAUUAAUCAUUAAAUAAACUAAAUAUCAUUAAUAUUAUCUUAAUAUCAUUAAUAUUUAAUUAUUAAUGAAAUUAUCAUUUAAAUAUUAAAAGUUAUAUUUUAUAACUUAAAAUAUUUUUAAAUACCUUAUUUUCAUUUAAAAUGAUUUUUAUAAUAUUAAAAUCAUUUUUAAACUAAAUUAUUUAAUAUAAUCAUUAAAUAACUUUAAUAUCAUUAAUAAUUAUUAAUUAAUGAAAUUCAUCACAAAAUAUUAAAAGUCAUCACAAAUAACUCAUUUACAUAAUCAAUUCCAAGCCAAAAUAAACAUAGUAAACUAACUAGUUUAUUAACAACACUAACUAAACUUCAAAAAUUCAAACUUUAACUAACAAUUAAAAAUAAUAACAUUACAAAAAUUAAAUAAGAAACAUACCCGGAAAUACGAAUUCCACAGACUGAAUACGCACUUCCACGCCAAAAUUUAACUAAGGAGAUCUUUAUAAAAAGUUCUCCCACAACAAAGCCUUUCUCAAAAAUUGGAGGCC
rnacentral:lncRNA from 1 species